rnacentral:rRNA from 1 species
CAGCACCUCAAGUGGUCAGGAUGAUUAUUGGGCCUAAAGCAUCCGUAGCCUGCUUUGUAAGUUUUCGGUUAAAUCCAUACGCUCAACGUAUGGGCUGCCGGGAAUACUGCAAAGCUAGGGAGUGGGAGAGGUAGACGGUACUCGGUAGGAAGGGGUAAAAUCCUUUGAUCUAUUGAUGACCACCUGUGGCGAAGGCGGUCUACCAGAACACGUCCGACGGUGAGGGAUGAAAGCUGGGGGAGCAAAACGGAUUAGAUACCCGAGUAGUCC